AGAAAUCUGAAAAUCUGAGCUAUGGGAAGCUCAAGAUUUUCGGCCCUGUCUAAUUAUUUUAUGGGAAUUUAUUUUGGUAAAGUUGUAUUUUUAAUUAUCUCCCUAAAUCUCUUACUUUCCUUAAUUCUAUUUCUCCAUCUUUUUAAUAUUUGAUCAUCAAAUUCUCUUUCCUUUUAUUCUUCUUAAUCAUUCCCCAAGUAAUUCCAAUUUUCUUAUUAUUUUUAAUGAAAAACAUACAUUCCAUAUUUAAUUAUACACAAUCACCUUAAUAUCAAAACCUUCCUUAAUUCUUUUACUCACUUCUCUAAGUAAUCGCUUAAACCCUACUUACUAUAAUUCUUCCUACAUUUUCCUACCAUGAUUCAUGCUUACACUAGCCUAUAAAUACCAGGGGUGUUCAAAAAACCCGACCCGAUUGUCCCGACCUGAUUUCCUGAUGACCCGGUAAAUACCCGAUGGAAAAUUUGGGAAAAAAACUAUUUUUUCGGGAUGGGUAUCCGGGUCGGGACAUGGGCCGCAUUUUUUAUUACCCGGGUACCCAAUUUCCCGAAAAUAAAUUAAUACAAAUAUCUUUUCUAAAAAAAAAAACACUCUCUCAAACCGAGUCCAGCCCACUUAAAGUUUAGAUAUUCAGUUAGUGACUUAGGGUUUCUCUCUCUCUUCUGUCAGUUAGCACUGCUUUCUCCCUCUCUCUUCCUUGAACUUUUCUGAUUCUCUUUGACUCUCUCUCUUCCUGCCUUCCUUCUUCAAGCCUUCUGAGUUCCUUCAAUUCACAGAUCCUAUCUUCAAGCGACUCAAUUCUCACUUCAUGCGAAAUCAAGUGACUUCAAGCGACUCAACCCUUCAGUUUGCCUUCGUUAAUUUUGAUGCCAUUUAUUCUCCUUUGUAAUUUGGAGAUUUUGUCUACUUUUCAAUUUUUCAUGUUUUGUUCUUUUAUGUUAUGGGUCUUCAAUUGUACUAUAUUUUGUUCACUGGUUGUUUUUCAUUCUCUUUAUUUUGGGAUUCCUAAAUAUUUUGGAUCUAUUUCAUUGGAUAUUGUUCUACCCCUUUCGCUUGUAUGCUGAUACUAUUUCGGAUUCACGUAUAAAUACAUAAAUUUUUUACAAGUAUAAUGUUAUUUAAAAAAAAAAAAAAGAAAUCCGGGUACCCUAUGUCCCGAUGUGAAUAAUUCGGGUACCCGGAACCCGGGUACCCGAGAUAUUCGGGUCGGGGCAUGGGACAAAGGGACAACUACCCGAAACUGUACCCGAAAACCCAGGUACCCGGAUUUGAACACCCCUAAUAAAUACCCCUUCAAUUCAUGAUCAAACCCUCACUCAAAUUCUCAUAAUUCUCUCUUAUUUCUCUCUCAAAUUCUUUUUUUAUUUUCUUUGCUCCUCCUUGCGCACCACCACCUCCUCUCCGACAGCCACUACCGCCGUCCUCCACCUUCCGGCACCAUUUGCUGCCGCUAGCAACCCUUGGUGUGUUCGAUCAAGAUUCUUGAGGUUCCUUUUGUGUGGUUUUGCUAAGAAAGGAUCAAGGUAUGAUGGAAAAGAUGGAUGAAAUGAGACACCAUUAUUUUGAAAUUCAUUACUUGAAAGAGAGUGGAGUCUCAGUUAGUGAUUUCAUGACUGGAAUUUGUACUUUAGCCUUGACCCUUAAUGAGAAGUUUCGUGAGGAAGUCUUGACCCAACAACCUUGGAUGGCUCUUUUGGCCUUGGCCCAUUUGCCUAGAAUUGAGAGAUAUCAACCUCUUUUUGAUAAAUAUGGGGACGUGAUCAAGGAAAAUGGGAUGUAGAAUGAGAAGCAUCAUCAUGAAGGGAAAUGGUUGGCAAGCAUGUCUAGCCUUAAGAGGGACUUGCACUGUGUGGAGCGCAAGUAUGAACCUAGGAGAAAAGCUGUGAAAAUUCCCAAGCCCCCAAAGAAUUGCACCUAUGGAGAAAAUGACCAAAUGUACUACCUAAUUACCCAAAUGUUUUUCUCUUACCCAAGGAAGCGUUAUAAAUAUAUGGAAUCUAGUGAUGAAUCCAUACCACCUCUUAGUAGGGGCAAGCAUUACCGUUCUCCUACCCAAACUCCAAGCUACAAAUCUUCAAAACGGCCUAGCCCAAAAGUCCAUUUCCAUGUUACAAAAAGGCCUAGAACUCGUUCUCGAAUUGCAAAAGAAAGAGCCCAAAGCCCCAACGCUUCUUCAAGCUAACCUCAUGGUGAUGUAAGCCCAAUAAAAAGCCUAAGUUACACUCCUAGCCCGGACAGAAAUAUAAGUAAAUCUGUGUCAAGCUCAUCAGGCCUUAUUCUAAGCUAUAGUGGUUACAACCCAACUCUCAUGGCCGAACCAAGUAAUAGAAGUGAUGAUCCAGAUUAUGAUCCUAUUGAAGAUGGUUAUGCUCGUAGUGUUGCUUGAUUUAAUGAUUUUGAACUAUGGUUUUUGUUUAAUGUUUCAAUAAUUGUCCUAAAUGACAAAGUUGUAUUUUCAUUUAUUAUUAAUGAAAUAAAAUGAAUUAUUUGAAAUUUC